CCGAUAGAUCAUUAUGCCUGGAAUGGCUUAUGAUCCAAAUGAUUUAUCGCCAUAGGAUGGGACUGCGGCCUAUCAGCUUGUUGGUGAGGUAAUGGCCCACCAAGGCUAUAACAGGUACGGGCUCUGAGAGGAGAAGCCCGGAAAUGGGUACUGAGACACGGACCCAGGCCCUAUGGGGCGCAGCAGGCGAGAAACCUUAGCAAUGUGCGAAAGCACGACUAGGUUAAUCCGAGUGAUUUCUGCUGAAGAAAUCUUUUGUCAGUUCUAAAACUACCGAUGAAUAAGGGGUGGGCAAGUCUGGUGUCAGCCGCCGCGGUAAUACCAGCACCUCGAGUGGUCAGGAGGUUUAUUGGGCCUAAAGCAUCCGUAGCCAGCUAUGCAAGUCUCCGGUUAAAUCCAGCUGCCUAACAGAUGGGCUGCCGGAGAUACUACACAGCUAGGGAGCGGGAGAGGUAGACGGUACUCGGUGGGUAGGGGUAAAAUCCUCUGAUCCAUUGAAGACCACCAGUGGCGAAGGCGGUCUACCAGAACGCGUUCGACGGUGAGGGAUGAAAGCUGGGGGAGCAAACCGGAUUAGAUACCCGGGUAGUCCCAGCUGUAAACGAUGCAAACUCGGUGAUGCGUUGGCUUAUAGCCAACGCAGUGCCGCAGGGAAGCCGUUAAGUUUGCCGCCUGGGAAGUACGGACGCAAGUCUGAAACUUAAAGGAAUUGGCGGGGGAGCACCACAAGGGGUGAAGCCUGCGGUUCAAUUGGA
rnacentral:rRNA from 1 species